rnacentral:sRNA from 1 species
GCAGGAUGUGGUGGUGCACACCUGUAAUCCCAAUGGCUCAGGAGGCUGAGGCAGGAGAAUCAUGAGUUCAAGGCUAGUCUCAUCAAUUUAGCUAUGCAACUUAGCGAGACCCUGUCUCUA